CCCGGGUCCUUGUACACACCGCCCGUCACACCAUGGGAGUUGGUUUUACCUUUAAGCCGGUGCGCUAACCGCAAGGAGGCAGCCGUCCACGGUAAGGUCAGCGACUGGGGUG
rnacentral:rRNA from 1 species